CGUAUGUGGGAUUCUACUUCACAAAUGACACAUUAUUGAAAAUUCGCGAAUCCAUCAGAGCACCCUGUAUACUGCGCAUGAUGCAACACGCCGUAACCAAAGAAAUAUUUCAAAAAGGCGUUCGCUCAUAUACAAAUAGCACCCAAUUUCAUCGUCAAAGUUUUAUGACUUUUUGGA